UGGGAAUUUUGGACAAUGGACACAAGUCUGAUCCAGCCAUGCCGCGUGCGGGAAGAAGGCCUUCGGGUUGUAAACCGCUUUUGUCAGGGAAGAAACGAGUUUCUCUAAUACAGAGACUUAAUGACGGUACCUGAAGAAUAAGCACCGGCUAACUACGUGCCAGCAGCCGCGGUAAUACGUAGGGUGCAAGCGUUAAUCGGAAUUACUGGGCGUAAAGCGUGCGCAGGCGGUUAUGCAAGACAGAGGUGAAAUCCCCGGGCUCAACCUGGGAACUGCCUUUGUGACUGCAUAGCUAGAGUACGGUAGAGGGGGAUGGAAUUCCGCGUGUAGCAGUGAAAUGCGUAGAUAUGCGGAGGAACACCGAUGGCGAAGGCAAUCCCCUGGACCUGUACUGACGCUCAUGCACGAAAGCGUGGGGAGCAAACA
rnacentral:rRNA from 1 species